rnacentral:lncRNA from 1 species
CAGGGAUCGAACUCGAGUCCUUGAGCUUGCGCAGCAGGCGGUGAAACCACUGAGCUAAAUCCCCAGCCCUCUCCAUCCAACUUUUAUUUUUAUGCAACACAUUCUCCCAAAAUUGGAUGUUAGGUCUUAAAAGAACUGGAAUUGUCUUUCACACUCUGCUGGAGCCACAGUGCCUCCCUGCCUGUUCUGGGGACACAGUGGCCCCUCUGGAGGUGGCUGUGGAGGCCGCUGCCUGACUCCAGCCUGGGGUCUGAACUAACCAGGAGCUGGUCCACAGGCAGCUGCAGGCCUUGGGGAGCUGGUCUCUCGGGGUGCACAUUCCUCCCAGCUACUCCCCAGUCAGGAGGCAGCAGAUACCAGGGAGGGACUGGGCUCCACCUCAGGUUGGGCACCCUGGGUCCCCACCCUGGUCCUCUCUCUGCAGCCUUCCCUGCUUGGGGGGCGACUCAUCCCCCUCCCAUCCCAGGUGGUGAGUGAGCAGCUUUGGCUGAGAGAGUUCAGGUGGGAAGAGACACAGUGUAACACAGAGAGGCCAGGGAGGAGCUCGUGCCGGAGCAGAAGAGAUUGUGGGCUGGCCCUGAGCCUGCAGAUUUGGAGGAGCUGCCGGGAAAGGCAAGGACACCAUGGCCUCACCAAGCCACUGCCCUCUGCUCAUCACCCCUGCCUGGAGAAGGUCCCCUGGCUGUCACCUCCCGUGAGCUGAUCCAGGCCCCCCUGGGGAGCUCCCACAGAAGCAGAGUUCAGAUUUGUCCCUACUCGAGCACAACUGCACUGUCAGUCCACACAGCAGCACCAUGUGAGUCUGGUUUUCCUCUUCCCAUCCCCACCAGACUGUGAACAUGGCAUUCUUCAUGAAGCUGCAGCUGGGCAGAACCAAAUGCAAGAAGUUCCAGGAUGACCUCGACAACUGCCGCUUCCAGGAGAGCCCCGAACCCAGCAAUGUAAGAUAGGGUUCUGGCUUCCUGCUCUCCCAGCUGUGGGUGCUGAGGUGGGGGUGGGGUGGGCGGAAGAUAAGCCUGCAACUGAGGACCUGCCAGACAGCAGGCU